rnacentral:rRNA from 1 species
UGUCGCCUGCCCAGUGAAACUUUAACGGCCGCGGUAUCCUAACCGUGCAAAGGUAGCAUAAUCACUUGUCCUCUAAAUAAGGACUAGAAUGAAUGGCUAAAUGAAGACUAGACUGUCUCUUGUAGAUCGCCUAUGAAACUGAUCUUUUAGUUAAAAAGCUAAAAUUUAACCACAAGACGAGAAGACCCUGUGGAGCUUAAAACCAGACUCAUAUGAUGACCCCCCGGUUUUUAGUUGGGGCGACUUCGGAGCAUAAAAAACCCUCCGACUGUAAUACUGCUUAGUAGAUUGACAAAUCAAAAUGCACUUAGACCCAGUAGCCAAUAACUAACUGACUAAUGAACCAAGUUACCCCAGGGAUAACAGCGCCAUCCUCUUCUAGAGUCCCUAUCGACAAGAGGGCUUACGACCUCGAUGUUGGAUCAGGACACCCUAAUAGUGCAACCGCUAUUGAAGGUUCGUUUGUUCAACGAUUAAAGUCCUACGUGAUCUG